GCCUGGCCAGAGGAGAGAAGAUGGCAUAUUCAAGAGAUGUUGCAAAAGUGAAAUCAGCAGGCCUUGGCUACAGCUUGAAUAUGGGAUGUGAGAGAUUGUGAGGAGUCUAAGAUGACUUUUACAUUAUGUACCUAAAGGACUGGGAGGAUGGUGUUACCCUCAACGAUAAUAGUUCCCAGCAGGAUUUCACAUUGUAAACAAAUUCUACUGUGACUGUGCAGUGAGACAUAACAAUGAGGCAAUUGGGGUUAAGUGACUUGCCCAGGGUCACACAG